UUAUUUUACUCUCUUAACAAAAAUAAAAUAAAAAAAUAAAAAAAAUCAAACAAAGAAAAAAAUACAUAAUGUUGCAAAAUCAAUAGGAAGAGGAGGAGGAAAAAAAGAUGCAGCAAUAACAGCAAUAAAAGAACGACUAUGAGGAUGAAACGAGCGAAGAAGAAGAAUGAACACGAAAAAAAGAAAGAAUACGAAGAAAAAGGAAAAAAAAAGUAGGAGGGAGAGGAGGAACGCGAAGAAGAAGAUCAGAGAAAACAUGAAGAAGAACGGCGUGAUUUCACGCGCACAUUAUAACACUAAUUUGAUUUUGGCGACAUUGGGAGGAGAUGACGAAGACGCAUCACUAGGAGAAGAGAACAAUGAUGCCGAGAGAAGGAGAAGACGAAGAUACGACAUGUGGAAAAGGAAGGAACUCAGCGCUGAAGAAGUUGGGGUUGCAGAAAAUAGAGGACUCAAAAUUGCUACUUUCUGAAGCUAGAAACCUCCCGAAGAAGAAGAGGAGAGGAGGAGAAGAUGGAGCUCGCGAUGGCAAAAAGAGGAACCACCAUUAAUGCACAGAAGAGAGAGAAACAAAGAAGAGAGGAGAGAAACAUCAAUAGGAAAAGAAGAGGAAGGCAGGGGGGGGGGGGGAAGAAAGAGAGAAAGGACGAUUGAAGAAGAUGGAGGAGAAGGAAGAGAGAGAGAGAGUGAAAAGGGGACGGUGCUGCAGUAGUGCUGGUUCAUACUUAGAUGAAAAAUUGAAGAGGAUGAGGAUCACUAAGGGUAGUUUGUGGAUUUUAUGUAAUUAUUUAGGAUUUGGGUAAUUUUGCAUGUGAAAGUCAAUCUUUUAUGGGUACAAAUGGUAAUUUUUAUGUUCUAUGAGUAGA